rnacentral:rRNA from 1 species
AAUGAACGCUGGCGGCAGGCCUAACACAUGCAAGUCGAACGGGUCCUUCGGGACUAGUGGCGGACGGGUGAGUAACGCGUGGGAACAUACCCAAAGGUACGGAAUAGCCUCUGGAAACGGAGAGUAAUACCGUAUGUGCCCUUCGGGGGAAAGAUUUAUCGCCUUUGGAUUGGCCCGCGUUGGAUUAGGUAGUUGGUGGGGUAAUGGCCUACCAAGCCGACGAUCCAUAGCUGGUUUGAGAGGAUGAUCAGCCACACUGGGACUGAGACACGGCCCCGACUCCUACGGGAGGCAGCAGUGGGGAAUCUUAGACAAUGGGGGAAACCCUGAUCUAGCCAUGCCGCGUGAUCGAUGAAGGCCUUAGGGUUGUAAAGAUCUUUCAGAUGGGAAGAUAAUGACGGUACCAUCAGAAGAAGCCCCGGCUAACUCCGUGCCAGCCGCCGCAGUAAGAC